UGAGGAAUUUUGCGCAAUGGGGGAAACCCUGACGCAGCAACGCCGCGUGAGUGAUGAAGGCUUUCGGGUCGUAAAGCUCUGUCAAGUGGGAAGAAUAUGCCCUGUGAUAAUACCAUGGGGCACUGACGGUACCACUGAAGGAAGCACCGGCUAACUCCGUGCCAGCAGCCGCGGUAAUACGGGGGGUGCAAGCGUUAUUCGGAAUCAUUGGGCGUAAAGGGCGCGUAGGCGGCCCCUUAAGUCAGAUGUGAAAGCCCUCAGCUUAACUGAGGAAGUGCAUUUGAAACUAAGGGGCUUGAGUAUGGGAGAGGGAAGCGGAAUUCCUGGUGUAGCGGUGAAAUGCGUAGAUAUCAGGAGGAACACCGGUGGCGAAGGCGGCUUCCUGGACCAAUACUGACGCUGAGGCGCGAAGGCGUGGGGAGCAAACAGG
rnacentral:rRNA from 2 species